ensembl:processed_transcript Snhg1 small nucleolar RNA host gene 1
AUCAAACUAGCUCACUAUGACUGCUAAUGAAAACACAGGAACACCUGAGAAACCAAAGGGUAGUGUGGGGGCAAGGGCCUUAUAUCCAGCCUUUUCAAGGUUUGUUAUUUUUCUCCAGGUUCUGUUAGCAGUGCCAUACUUGUGGGUUUACAGAGAUGGUGUGUCUGGCUGAGAACAAAGGAGCCGUACCAGGAAAGUUGAAGCAUAUCUUCAUUUUCAAGUCCAGGCUAAAAUAAGGUCUGAGGAAAAGAAUGAGCUGCGUGUGAAGGAUAGGAACAGAAAUCAUGAAAGAUCUGUUUGUCCAGGCCAGUGUUUCACCAUAAGAGAUCACUUUAAAAUAAAUGAUGAAAUAAUUCUUUGCAAUUGCAAAUUUACCUUCCUUGCUUACCACAUUGUUAACUGUAGGAGCUGAUACCUGGUUCUUCCACUGUUAACUUGUACUCUGUGUUUGUUCUAGCAAUAAAUGCUCUUUAUGCUA